GCGUCCUUAGCACAGUGGUUAGUCCACUUGACAUGGACAUAAGAGACGUGGGUUCAAUUCCCACAGGAAACA
rfam:Puccinia sorghi strain RO10H11247 Scaffold_1979, whole genome shotgun sequence.